rnacentral:rRNA from 1 species
CCUACGGGGGGCAGCAGUGGGGAAUAUUGGACAAUGGGGGGAACCCUGAUCCAGCCAUGCCGCGUGUGUGAAGAAGGCCCUCGGGUUGUAAAGCACUUUCAGUGAGGAAGAACGCCUGGUGGUUAAUACCCAUCAGGAAAGACAUCACUCACAGAAGAAGCACCGGCUAACUCCGUGCCAGCAGCCGCGGUAAUACGGAGGGUGCGAGCGUUAAUCGGAAUUACUGGGCGUAAAGCGCGCGUAGGUGGCUUGAUAAGCCGGUUGUGAAAGCCCCGGGCUCAACCUGGGAACGGCAUCCGGAACUGUCAAGCUAGAGUGCAGGAGAGGAAGGUAGAAUUCCCGGUGUAGCGGUGGAAUGCGUAGAGAUCGGGAGGAAUACCAGUGGCGAAGGCGGCCUUCUGGACUGAAACUGACACUGAGGUGCGAAAGCGUGGGUAGCAAACAGGAUUAGAUACCCGAGUAGUC